rfam:Geoalkalibacter subterraneus strain Red1, complete genome.
GCCGAAGUGGUGGAAUUGGUAGACACGCUAGGUUCAGGGUCUAGUGGGCGUAGGCCCGUGGGAGUUCGAGUCUCCCCUUCGGCA